AAAAUACAGUGACAGCUCAAGGAAGAACUAAUAUUCGGGAGACCACAGGUUUUGUAAUCCAGAACUGCCGCAUUGUUCCCGAGCAAUUACUGGAACCUGUGCGUUUCAAGAUUCCUACCUACUUGGGACGGCCAUGGAAGAUGUACUCAAGAACUGUGAUCAUGGAAUCAACUUUGGCAGAUUUCAUCCAACCUGCAGGUUGGAUGCUUUGGUCCGGAAACUUUGCCCUUGACACAUGUUACUAUGCUGAGUAUGGAAACCGCGGUCCAGGAGCCAAUACCAACAAUAGGGUCAAAUGGAAGGGAUUCAAAGUCAUCACAGACAGAAGCGAAGCCCUUCAGUUUACAACUACUCCGUUUAUUCAAGGAAAAAUAGUCCAGAACUGCCGCAUUGUUCCCGAGCCAUUACUGGAACCUGUGCGUUUCAAGAUUCCUACCUACUUGGGACGGCCAUGGAAGAUGUACUCAAGAACUGUGAUCAUGGAAUCAACUUUAGCAGAUUUCAUCCAACCUGCAGGUUGGAU
rnacentral:lncRNA from 1 species